rnacentral:rRNA from 1 species
CCUACGGGCGGCAGCAGUGGGGAAUAUUGGACAAUGGGCGAAAGCCUGAUCCAGCCAUGCCGCGUGUGUGAAGAAGGCCUUCGGGUUGUAAAGCACUUUCAGUGGGGAAGAAAGCCUUGGGGCUAAUACCCUCGAGGAAGGACAUCACCCACAGAAGAAGCACCGGCUAACUCCGUGCCAGCAGCCGCGGUAAUACGGAGGGUGCGAGCGUUAAUCGGAAUUACUGGGCGUAAAGCGCGCGUAGGCGGUCUGAUAAGCCGGUUGUGAAAGCCCCGGGCUCAACCUGGGAACGGCAUCCGGAACUGUCAGGCUAGAGUGCAGGAGAGGAAGGGAGAAUUCCCGGUGUAGCGGUGAAAUGCGUAGAGAUCGGGAGGGAUUCCAGUGGCGAAGGCGGCCUUCUGGACUGACACUGACGCUGAGGUGCGAAAGCGUGGGUAGCAAACAGGAUUAGAUACCCUUGUAGUC